UCUAAGGGGGGGUUUAGAAAGCGCUUUUGGAAAGCGCUGUCUAAGGCAUACCUUAGAAAGCGCUUUCCACAAAAGCGCUGUCUAAGGUCUAAUUAAAAUAAAAUUUCAGACUCCAUUUCAAUUUUCGUUCUCUGUUCUUUUGUUUUCCCUCCUGCGAACGUUGAAACCCUAUCAGCGAAAACCAUAACAGCGAACACGAAUACACUUCCAUUUUUCGGUUUCAAUCAUUGAACGUGUUUGAAGAAUCGUACGUGUCUCGACAUUUGGGUGUUUUUCAGAUUGAAAUCACAAUACCCGAUGGAUACCCAUUUGAACCCCCGAAGAUGAAGUUUACAACCAAAGUCUGUGUUAAGUGUGCAAUCCAGUGAAUUGGCGGCCUGCUAAAAUCUGCUGCUGCACCCUAUGGGUUCUCCUUAAUGAUGCUGAUCUAUUGGGAUCUUUGUGUUUCAUUGAUAUCUACAGUGGUUUAUUGUUUAUUUAUUUUUUUAGUUGAAAUGUUUUUACUCAACCAUAAAAAUGCUACUUUGUUUACUAUUUUCAAGAUUUUGGUAUGUCAACAUUUCCUUUAGACAUUCUUGAAAACAUGAAACUAGAUGGGAAGAUACAAGCAAACCAAACACACUGUUCUAAUUUGUUAGUGUUUAAAACUAUUGCAUUUGUUACUUGGCAUGUUAUUUUUCUGGAAAUCUAUAGUGUAAUCCCAUAAUAAAAUUUUGGGUUUGGUUGAAGAUAAGCUCUUCUAAGACCAUCCUUUAUUUAUGUGUGAUAUAGAAAUUGUUUUGACAUUUUAUGCCAGGGUUUCAAUCUGUC